rnacentral:misc_RNA from 1 species
GUUUCCGUAGGUGAACCUGCGGAAGGAUCAUUAUUGUAUAACCGAGGUGCGAGGGCUGUCGCUGACCCGAAAGGUCGUGCACGCCCGAGUGCCCUCACACACAUCCAUCUCACCCUUAUGUGCACCACCGCGUGGGUCCCCCUUUGGCUUGUUCGGAGGGGGGCUUACGUUUUCACACAAACUUUGUAUGCAGUGUAGAAUGUAUUUUUUGUUUUUGCGAUCACGCAAUCAAUACAACUUUCAACAACGGAUCUCUUGGCUCUC